rnacentral:rRNA from 1 species
GAUGAACGCUAGCGGCAGGCUUAACACAUGCAAGUCGAGGGGUAUCACGCUUUCGGGCGUGAGAGACCGGCGCACGGGUGCGUAACGCGUAUGCAAUCUACCUUUUGCAGAGGGAUAGCCCAGAGAAAUUUGGAUUAAUACCUCAUAGUAUAGAACAAUCGCAUGAUUGAACUAUUAAAGUCACAACGGCAAAAGAUGAGCAUGCGUCCCAUUAGUUAGUUGGUAAGGUAACGGCUUACCAAGACUACGAUGGGUAGGGGUCCUGAGAGGGAGAUCCCCCACACUGGUACUGAGACACGGACCAGACUCCUACGGGAGGCAGCAGUGAGGAAUAUUGGACAAUGGGCGCAAGCCUGAUCCAGCCAUGCCGCGUGCAGGAUGACGGUCCUAUGGAUUGUAAACUGCUUUUGUACAGGAAGAAACACCUCUACGUGUAGAGACUUGACGGUACUGUAAGAAUAAGGAUCGGCU